AUUGAACGCUGGCGGCGUGCCUAACACAUGCAAGUCGAGCGGUAACAGGUGUAGCAAUACAUGCUGACGAGCGGCGGACGGGUGAGUAACGCUUGGGAAUCUGCCUAUUAGUGGGGGACAACCCGGGAAACGUCGGGCUAAUACCGCAUACGCUCUACGGAGGAAAGCCGGGGACCGCAAGGCCUGGCGCUAAUAGAUGAGCCCAAGUCGGAUUAGCUAGUUGGUAGGGUAANGGCCUACCAAGGCGACGAUCCGUAACUGGUCUGAGAGGACGACCAGUCACACCGGAACUGAGACACGGUCCGGACUCCUACGGGAGGCAGCAGUGGGGAAUAUUGGACAAUGGGCGAAAGCCUGAUCCAGCGACGCCGCGUGGGUGAAGAAGGCCUGCGGGUUNUAAAGCCCCUUUCAGGUGGGGAAGAAAAGCCUCGACCUAACACGUCGGGGUCUUGACGUAACCCAUAGAAGAAGCACC
rnacentral:rRNA from 1 species